GAGACUCCAAUGCGAGCUACCUGAGACCCGGUGAAUUUUCUACCGGAUAUGGAUGUGCUUUAAGGAAUUUUAGUGUUAAUUGUACUUUUUGGGGACUUUGAGUGAUUCACCACCCUUUGAACAAAUGUAUUUUGAGAUCCUCAAAGGAAUCCUAGAUUUGUCAAGAAGCCAUAUGUUUUAAUUGUUGCCCAUCAAAUAGUACAGUGUCUUUGUGUAAAUUAGAUUCAUUUUGAGGAAAUAGCUGGUGUGCAGUGCACAUUUCUAAAUGAAUUCAUCAGUUUACAUUAAGGAUCUACCUUCAAAUCCUGUAAUCUGGGAUGCUCUAAAGUGCAUUUCACAGAUUAAAGUUGUAAAAAUAACUUCCAAGAAUUUUUAAGAAAUUGUUAUAACUUUAAAAUGUAUGUAUAUAUAUAUUGAUAUUGAAUUAAAUUUUAUAAAAUUUCAGCAUCUGAUUUUAUGUAUAUAUAGACAUAUUGUAAAGAUUUUCCACUCUAAAGGUUUAAUUUCUUUAAUAUUUAAGACUAAAAAAAACUUUUUUGCAGAUACAGUGGUGUAACAUUGUCUUACUUUCUGAUCAAUACAUAUAGAUAAGAAAACUAUGUAUAUUUCAAUAAAUGUGGAACAUUU